rnacentral:rRNA from 1 species
UACGGAAGGCAGCAGUGGGGAAUAUUGCACAAUGGGCGAAAGCCUGAUGCAGCUAUGCCGCGUGUAUGAAGAAGGCCUUAGGGUUGUAAAGUACUUUCAUCGGGGAGGAAAAACAAAACUAAUAAUUUUAUUUCUUGACGUUACCUGAAAAAGAAGCACCGGCUAACUCCGUGCCAGCAGCCGCGGUAAUACGGAGGGUGCUAGCGUUAAUCAGAAUUACUGGGCGUAAAGAGCACGUAGGUGGUUUUUUUAAGUCAGAUGUGAAAUCCCUGGGCUUAACCUAGGAACUGCAUUUUGAAACUGAAAUACUAGAGUAUCGUAGAGGGAGGUAGAAUUCUAGGUGUAGCGGUGAAAUGCGUAGAUAUCUGGAGGAAUACCUGUGGCGAAAGCGGCCUCCUAAACGAAUACUGACACUGAGGUGCGAAAGCGUGGGGAGCAAACAGGGAUUAGAUACC